GACGAACGCUGGCGGCGUGCUUAACACAUGCAAGUCGAACGGAAAGGCCCUGCUUUUGUGGGGUGCUCGAGGGGCGAACGGGUGAGUAACACGUGAGUAACCUGCCCUUGACUUUGGGAUAACUUCAGGAAACUGGGGCUAAUACCGGAUAGGAGCUCCUGCUGCAUGGUGGGGGUUGGAAAGUUUCGGCGGUUGGGGAUGGACUCGCGGCUUAUCAGCUUGUUGGUGGGGUAGUGGCUUACCAAGGCUUUGACGGGUAGCCGGCCUGAGAGGGUGACCGGCCACAUUGGGACUGAGAUACGGCCCAGACUCCUACGGGAGGCAGCAGUGGGGAAUAUUGCACAGUGGGCGGAAGCCUGAUGCAGCAACGCCGCGUGCGGGAUGACGGCCUUCGGGUUGUAAACCGCUUUCGCCUGUGACGAAGCGUGAGUGACGGUAAUGGGUAAAGAAGCACCGGCUAACUACGUG
rnacentral:rRNA from 1 species